UACGAAGGGGCUAGCGUUGCUCGGAAUUACUGGGCGUAAAGCGCACGUAGGCGGAUUGUUAAGUCGGGGUGAAAUCCUGGAGCUCAACUCCAGAACUGCCUUCGAAACUGGCGAUCUUGAGUCCGGGAGAGGUGAGUGGAACUGCGAGUGUAGAGGUGAAAUUCGUAGAUAUUCGCAAGAACACCAGUGGCGAAGGCGGCUCACUGGCCCGGUACUGACGCUGAGGUGCGAAAGCGUGGGAGCAAC
rnacentral:rRNA from 1 species